GACAUUGUGACACCAGAAUGAACAAAUGCACAUUAAAUCAAAAAUGAUUCGAAUAAUCUUGGCAAAAUUCAUGAGUAAACAGGACAUACAACAUGAUCAUCACAAAAAAAAAUAGAGGCAUUGGACAUCAUUAGGCAUGGCAAUAACAUGGCAUAAGUCAAGACAAACACAACAAGCACAUGUGUGACACCAAUUGUCACACCAACUUAGCAUAGGCACAAGACAGAAAUGAAUCGUGAUAAAAACCUCAAACCAAAGCCAAAACACCAUUCAACAUGUCUAGAAAUAGUGUGCAAAAUUUCACAUUCAUUGGAUAAAGAACAAGCAUUUCAUGAAUGAAUGAAGUUCAAGGCAAUGUACAAGCUCAAAUGUGACCAUCCAUAAUGAAAAAUCUCAAUUAAAUCAGAAAUGAUCUCAAAAAUUCCAACAAAAAUCAUGAGAAAUCACAACAUUCAUAUCAAGC
rnacentral:lncRNA from 1 species